ensembl:lncRNA
GAGGGGGGGACACGCCGCCGUCGUGAUGGAGAGGUGAGAUGUCGCGACGGAACGGGGCUAUAUCGCGACGGAGAGGUGAGGUAUCGCGACGGAGUGGGGCUGUAUCGUGAUGGAGCAGCGAGAUAUCGUGAUGGAAUGGGGCUGUAUCGCGACGGAGCAGUGCUAUGUCGCGACAGCGGCGAGAUAUCGUGAUGGAAUGGGGCUAUAUCGCAACAGAGCAGUGCUAUAUCGCGACAGAGGCGAGAUAUCGUGAUGGAAUGGGACUAUAUCGCGACGGAGCAGUGCUAUGUCGUGACAGCAGUGAGAUAUCGUGAUGGAAUGGGGCUAUAUCGCGACAGAGCAGUGCUAUAUCACGACAGAGGCGAGAUAUCGUGAUGGAAUGGGGCUGUAUCGCGACGGAGCAGUGCUAUGUCGCGACAGCGGCGAGAUACCGUGAUGGAAUGGGGCUAUAUCGCGACGGAGCAGUGGUAUAUCGCGACAGAGGCGAGACAUCGUGAUGGAAUGGGGCUAUAUCGUGACAGAGCAGUGCUAUAUCGCGACAGCGGUGAGAUAUCGUGAUGGAAUGGGGCUAUAUCGCGACGGAGCAGUGCCAUAUCACGACAGCGGCGGGAUAUCGUGAUGGAAUGGGGCUAUAUCGCAACAGAGCAGUGCUAUAUCGCGACAGAGGCGAGAUAUCGUGAUGGAAUGGGGCUAUAUCGCGACGGAGCAGUGCUAUAUCGCGACAGCGGUGAGAUAUCGUGAUGGAAUGGGGCUAUAUCGCAACAGAGCAGUGCUAUAUCACGACAGAGAGGCGAGAUAUCGUGAUGGAACGGGGCUAUAUCGCGACGGAGCACUUCUGUCACGACGGAAUGGGGCUGUAUCGCGAUGGAGGGGCAAGAUACCAUGAUGGAAUGGGGCUAUAUCGCGACAGAGCAGCGAGAUAUCGUGAUGGAACGGGGCUAUAUCGCGACAGAGCGGCGCCGUAUUGUGAUGGAGUGGAGCUGUAUCGCGACAGUGGGACUAUAUCGCGACAGAGCAGUGCUAUAUCGCGACGGAAUGGAGCUAUAUCGCGACGGCGGAACUAUAUCGUGACAGAGCAGUGCUAUAUCGCGACAGAGCGCUUCUAUCGCGAUGGAGUGGCACCGUAUCGCGACAGAACGGGGCUAUAUCGCGACAGUGGAACUAUAUCGUGACGGAGCAGCGCUAUAUCGCGACAGAGCGCUUCUAUCACAACAAUGGCGCCAUGUUGCGACAGAGCAGCGCCGUAUCGCGACAGAACGGGGCUAUAUCGUGACAGAGCACUGCUCUAUUGCGACAGUGGAACUAUAUCGCGACGGAGCAGUGCUAUAUCACGACAGAGCUGCCCUGUAUCGCGACAGAAUUGAGCUAUAUCGUGACAGCAGCGCUGUAUCACGACGGAGCAGCACAAUAUCGCGAUGGAGCGGCGUUAUAUCGCGACAGUAGCAGUGCUAUAUCGCGACGGAGCGGCGCUACGAAUUGAUAAAUCGCGAUAUUGACAGCAGAUAUCGUGAUACUGGCAGUGAACAGUGACCGUAUCGCGAUAUUGCCACCGUGUAUCGCGAUAGUGGCACCAUGUAUCACAAUAGCGUCGCCAGAUAUCGCGAUAUUAGCACAGAACAGUGACCGUAUCGCGAUACUGCCACCGUAUAUCGCGAUAGUGCCACUAAAUAUCACGAUACUGGCUCUGAAUGGUGACCGUAUCGCGAUAGUGGCACCGAAUAUCGCGAUAGUGCCACCAAAUAUCACGAUACUGGCUCUGAACGGUGACCACCCUGCGAUACCGGCACCGUAUAUCGCGAUAGUGGCACCAAAUGUCGCGAUAUGGAAACCGAACCGGCGACCAAUGAAUGGGGAGGGGACUGACGCAGAAACGGUGACGAGCUCACAAUAAAAGACACUGGAACUGUGAAAGCGCGUCGCGA